rnacentral:rRNA from 1 species
UACAGAGGGUCCCAAGCGUGUCCGGAUUUAUUGGGCGUAAGAGCGUGUAGGCGGCCAGGGUAGGUCCGCUGUGGAAAACUCGAGGCUCAACCUCGAGACGUCGGCGGAAACCCUCUGGCUAGAGUCCGGAAGAGGGAGAGUGGAAUUCCGUGGUGUAGCGGUGAAAUGCGCAGAUAUCAGGAAGAACACCCGUGGCGAAGGCGGCUCCUCUGGGACGGUACUGACGCUGAGACGGCGAAAGCGUGGGGGAGCAAACAGG